rnacentral:rRNA from 1 species
CCGUGAGGGAAAGUUGAAAAGAACUUUGAAGAGAGAGUUCAAAAGGGCGUGAAACCGCUUAGAAUAAAACGGACGGAGCCGUCUGCGGCCCAUCGGAAUCAGUCGAGUCGACGCGUGAAAACGAGUACGACGCGAAUACGGAACGAAAGUCCGGUCGUCUCGUCGAAAUAAAGUAGCGCUCGUUCGAUGCAUUUCCGAAGGGUAAGCACCGCGACCGAUGUCGAAGGCUAGUAUAACCGUCGGAUUGAGGUCGAGCUCGUUUACUCGAGUCUCGUAACCAGUCCUUCGGCGAUCGCUAGACCCUAGCAUCGAGAAUAUAUAUAUAAAAGAACGUCGGUGAAAAUAACACUCACCAGUUUCGACGGAAGUACGGCUAUUCGAUCGUCGCCUGCUCGCAGGUUACGGUUAGUAAUCGAGUUCGUAUCCGAAGUCGUCGGUGACGUAUCGACGUUCGGGCGUCCGCGGUGUCCGAGUCGGUCACCCGUCCGACCCGUCUUGAAACACGGACCAAGGAGUCUAACGUAAGCGCGAGCUAAUGGGCGGAAAACCCAUAAGCGAAAUAAAAGUAAAAGCCGUUUCGGACGGCCGAGGUACGAUACCGACGAAAAUAUAUUUUCGGUCGCAGUACCGUCCCGUCCCGACCGCUCGUCGGUAGGGCGGAGACAGAGUGCAUACGUUGGGACCCGAAAGAUGGUGAACUAUGCCUGAGCAGAGCGAAGCCAGAGGAAACUCUGGUGGAGGUUCGUAGCGGUUCUGACGUGCAAAUCGAUCGUCAGACUUGGGUAUAGGGGCGAAAGACUAAUCGAACCAUCUAGUA